rnacentral:snRNA from 1 species
AGAGAAUCACUUGAACCCGGGAGGCGGAGGUUGUAGUGAGCGAGGAUCGUGCCACUGCAUUCUAGCCUGGGCAACAAGA